GUGGCAUUAGCUCAGUUGGUAGAGCAGUUGACUUUUAAUCAAUUGGUCGCAGGUUCGAAUCCUGCAUGCCGCACCA
rnacentral:tRNA from 1 species